rnacentral:snRNA from 1 species
AUACCUUUCUCGGCCUUUUGGCUAAGAUCAAGUGUAGUAUCUGUUUUUUAUUCGGGAUUAUAGUGAAAUAAAACCAGAAUCAAAUGAAAAUCCAAUUUCUCUACGUUGUGGAAGAGAUUCAGUAAAUAAAUUGGAUGCUUUUUAUUUAUUUAUUACAGGUUUAGCGCAUUUCAGCUCAAGCAUCCUGGUAAUCAGAAU